CCCAGCCCUGGCUCGUACGUGGGGCCGGCGGCUCUGCGCCCUGGGCCGCGCCGUGCACUGCCGGCGGCGCUUGUGAAGGCAGCGGGGAGGUGCCGGACCUGGGAAACGCGACGGCCUCAAGGCGAUCCCGCACUAACGGUGUCUUUGGAUGCCAGUUUAUGUCAUGGGCAUCACCAGCACUCAGACUCCUUUCUCCUUCGGCAGUGCUGUGCCGGGGUUAACGUUCCACUGGUCUGUCAGCAGGAGGGACACCCUGGAUGUCAGGACAAGGCACAGUGAGGCUGCUUUUCAGCUUCCUGCAAACUACAACUUUGCAGUGGAUGUUUAUGGCAGAGUAAAGGGAAGAACAGGCCUCAAAGUUGUCGUGAAGGUUCUUGAUGCUGCAGCCAACCAGUUCUACAACA